rnacentral:tRNA from 1 species
GAAGUAUUAACUUAAUUUUAAAGUGCCAAACUUUUAAUUUGGAAAUGUGGAUUCAUACUUCU